rnacentral:lncRNA from 1 species
ACUCAAAACAGCAAGAGAAGGAUAAGAAUAACUAGAGAGAGAGAGAUGGCAAGUUUUCCAGUUAUUAACAUGGAGAAUCUCAAUGGAGAAGAAAGGGCUGCAACAAUGGAGAAGAUCAAAGAUGCUUGUGAAAACUGGGGUUUCUUUGAGGUAUAAAUAUAUAAUUAAUUCUGUUAUUAAUACAUAAAACCAAAAGAAUUUUUAAAUUUGUACUAAAAAUUAACGGUUGAUGAUCUUGUAAUUAAGCUGGUGAAUCAUGGGAUUUCUCCCGAAUUCAUGGACACUGUAGAGAGGCUGACAAAGGGGCACUACAGAAAAUGCAUGGAACAAAGAUUUAAGGAAAUGAUGGCAAG